GUAGUUAGCCGGGGCUUCCUCACAGAUUACCGUCACUUCCUUCGUCAUCUGCGACAGAGGUUUACAAUCCGAAAACCUUCUUCCCUCACGCGGCGUUGCUGGGUCAGGCUUGCGCCCAUUGCCCAAUAUUCCCCACUGCUGCCUCCCGUAGGAGUCUGGACCGUGUCUCAGUUCCAGUGUGGCCGAUCAGCCUCUCAGCUCGGCUACCCAUCGUUGACUAGGUGGGCCGUUACCCCGCCUACUAUCUAAUGGGACGCGAGCCCCUCCUUUUGCGGAUUACUCCUUUUACCCCUCUGCCAUGUGACAGUGUGGUCUUAUGCGGUAUUAGCAACGAUUUCUCGUUGUUAUCCCCCUCAAAAGGUCAGGUUGCUCACGCGUUACUCACCCGUUCGCCACUAAGUUUACAACCGAAGUCAUAAACUCCGUUCGACUUGCAUGUGUUAGGCACGCCGCCAGCGUUCGUCCUGAGCCAGAAUCAAACUCUGA
rnacentral:rRNA from 1 species